AGGAGGAACAGCCCUAGUGGCGGGGCCAGCUCUGGAAACCUGGAUUCAGCGCCAACAGGAACUACUCCGUCUGCAGGGCCUGGAGGCUCCGGGGCGGG
rnacentral:pre_miRNA from 1 species